rnacentral:misc_RNA from 1 species
GUAUUGAUUGCGUGUGACCGCAAAGAUAACAUUCUACACUGUAUCAAGUUUUGUGUGAAAACGUGAGCUCCUUUUGCAAAAGAAGACCCACGCGGUGAUGCACAAAGGGGUGAGAUGGAUGUGUGAGGGCACUCGGGCGUGCACAACCUUUGAAAGGUCAGCGACAGCCCUCGCACCCCCGUUGUAUGAUAAUGAUCCUUCCGCAGGUUCACCUACGGAAA